CUUCAUACCAUGCUUGAAAUGACAAGAUUAUAGACAAGGAGAACACAUGAGUGGAUGCUGGGGUUAGGGGUGGUGUGGAUGUCACCACAAAGGUUGUGCAAGGCGGACCUAGGCGUGAUGGAAUCGUUCUCUUCCCUAGCUGUACGGGUGGCUGCAUGAAUCUAUACAGUGAAAAAAUGACUCAGAAACCACACACAGUGGCCCUCCCUCCGUCUGAGGUUUCUGAGGAGCCUGCGGAUACUGGGAGGGCUGACUGGGGGACUUGAGCACCCUGGGAUUUUGCUGUCCUGGGAGACAGGGUCCUGGAACCAAUCGCCGUGGAUACCAAGGGACUGCUGUGCUCACAUUGUAGCUGCACACGUUUCCUGGCUUAGAUUUGGCACUGUGGUUAUGUAAGAUGUAACCAUGGGAAGAAGCCAAGUGAAGAGUACCCUGGACCACAUCCUGGAAAUCUGUAAUUAUUUGAAAAUACAAAGAGAAGGAAAUGGAAGCAACACAGAGAGGUUCACAGAGAAGUGGUAAAAGAAGCUGCCUGAACCCACGCCGCUGAAUGCCUCAGUCCGGAGCCAGGCUCUAAAUCACUUGCCCUGUGCAUCACCUUCUAGCAUCAAAGACUCAAGAGAAGGCCAGGCACGGUGGCUCACACCUGUAAUCCCAGGACUUUGAGAGGCCGAGGUCAACAGGGUCAAGUUCAAACUCAGCGUGUGAACCGGCUGGCACCUGCUUAGCUUUCUAGCCCCACAUCCUCUCACUCUUGGGUGCCCCCUUUCCCUGGCCAUGCCCACCUGCUUGGAGGUCCUUGAACUUCUCUUCUCCAUGCCUUUUUCAAUGUUCUUCCCUCUGCCUGGAAUGCCUUUACCCCUCUUCCCUCUCCUGACCUAGCCGCUUGCUCCCUGCUGGGGGUUCAAUGACGUCUCCCCAGAAUGCCCAUGUCCUAACCCCCAGAACCUGCGGAUGUGACCUCAUUUGGAAAUAGGGACUUUGCAGAUGGGAUGAAGUUAAAGGUCUCAAGAGGAGAUUAUCCUGGACUUAAGAGGGCCCUAAAUCCAAUGACAGGUGUCCUUCAAAGAGAAAUCAGAGGGAAAUCUGGGACACGGAGACAGAGGCAAAGGCCACGGGAAGACGCUGCAGAGAUGGGAGAGGCACAUCCUCAAGGCCGGGAGUACUGAAGUGGCCGGCUGCCAUCGGAAGCCGGGAGAGAGGCGCCGGGCAGAUUCUCCCUCGAAGCCCGGAGAGAGGCACGGGUUGGAUUCUCCCUUAGAGCCUCCGGAAUGACCCAGCCGUGUCAACACCUUGGUUUUGGCUUUCUGGCCUCCAGAACAGUGUGAAUGCAUGACUGUUGUUUCAAACCACUUGGUGUGUGGGCAUUUGUUAACAGCAGCCACAGAAACUCAUACUCAGAAACUUUGCUCAAACGUUGCCUCCUCUGGGAAGGCCGCCCUGACUCCUCAUCUCGACUGGAGGCCCAGAUCCCAGUAUGACCCUCUCCUACCUCUUACCUCGGUGGCCAUGAUCAGCGACGCACCUGUGUGGCUUCACUCCAGAACGUAAACUGAAGGGCGGGAUUCCCUAACGGCUUAGAUUACAGCAGCCUCUCCCAGAGAAGUCCACAGUCUAACAGGCCUCGCAGCUGUCAACAAAAGAUGGUUCUGUAAUGGUGGAACUUCAGGCAGCUCACAGGGGCCUGCAGGAAGGAUGUUUUGGGGGCUGGGCUCCUUUUCACUCAGGCUCCUACUCCAGGUGUCUGCACGGGAAGAACCUCUGUGGGGGCUGUAAGAUCAGGUUUGUCCUGAAAGACAGUCACCUGAAAUGAACCCACCUGCCUUCUCUUUGGACCAACUUACUGAUAUCUGUGAGAAUGUUCUAGAAAAAAGGCUCAGGGUGCGAGCUUAUACUGGCAACUCAGAUGGAAAGCAACCUGGGAGGGAAUGUGGCCACAUCCGAAUAACCAAAGUCCAAAGGGAUUAUUAUUAUUAUUAUUAUUAUUAUUUUUCUGAGACAGGGUCUUGCUUUGGCAUCCAGGCUGGAGUGCAGUGGCACAAUCAUGGCUCACUGCAGCCUCGACCUCCUGGGCUCAAGCGAUCCUCUCACCUCAGCCUCCUGUGCUGGGACCUGAAGUUGUGCACCACCAUGCCUGAUUUUUUUUUCUUUUUUUUAAGAGACAGAGUCUCACUUUGUUGCCCAGGCUGGCCUUGAACUCCUGGGCUCAAGCAAUCCUCCCACCUCAUUCUCCCAAAGUGCUGGGAUUAUAGGCAUGAGCCAUCAUGCCCGGCCCAAAGGGAUGAUUUAGUUAAGUUUGCCCUUACGGAAAAAGCUGCUUUCAGGGUCCUUGGAUGGCGGGAGGUGCUUUGUCUCCAGCAGGCCUGGAGGGGCCCACAGGCUUGCCCACUAGUUUCCAGCGUCCCGGUGCCCCGUCUUGCAGUGGGGACCCAAAGCACCCAGGGGCCCAUCCCGCAGCCAUGCUUUGAGACCCUGUUUGCUGUCAGGAGGGACAGAGUCCUCUCAGCCUCUGGCCACCCCUGCUCCCUGUGGCUGUGGAACCGUCCCCAGGUGGUUAGAGAGGUGGCCGCAACUGAGAAAUUGCUUCCUCAAUACAGGAGAACUUGUGCUGCAAGAGAGAAAACUCCAGACAGGGGUUCAGAGAAGUGGGGCUGGCCUCCUUCUGUUCCUGGAAGAGUGGGAGAACGGGAGGUGGGGCUCUGAUGUCCCAACAACCUGCCCCGCCAGUUUCCAGCUGUGAGGCCGUGGGGAGAUUGCCACAUACUCCCGUCUUCCUCAUAUUCCAUCCACACGUGGGUAAUAAAACCACCUAGUGAGGAGGAGGUGACAGUGCAGUCAGGAUCUUUUGAUGGUGAUGGUUGCUCAUGCAGCAAGAUCACAGAGCUACACACACGUGCAAAGACACACACACACGCACGCACACACACACCCGUGCAGAGUGGGACACAGAUGAGUAUGCUCCAUGGAGAUUGCCAGCGUCACCUUCCCGGUUUUGAUGUCAUGUCGUAACCAGCCAAGUCUUGAACCCCAUCAGCCCAGGGCCACAGCCCCUCGCCACUCCUUCACACGGCUCAUCACGUGGCCCCAUCUGCCCCGACUGGUUCCCGCUGGGUUUCUGUCAUCGUCACCAAAGUGCAGUGGUCAUCCAGCCUCUCAGCGCCUUUGAGUCCCUGGCUGGGGUCUUCAGUGACCCUUCUGUGUUUCUUUGCCUCCCAGCCUUGUAAGUUUCCUGACCGUUUUCACACCCUCAUCUCAUCUGGUCCUAUGGAAGGCACGGCAGAUGUUACCCCCCGUUUCAAAGCAGUGGAAACUGAGGAUCAGGGUGGCUAAGCUCUUUGUCCAGGGAUACGCAGCUAAGGACCAGUAGGGCCACCAUGGAACUCAGCUCCAGUCCAGAGCACUCCAACAACCUGAGGCAGCCGGGUGUCUGCUCAGAUUUCAGCUCAGGAGAGAGACACUGUCAUCUGUCUCCAAAACAGUCAGGUCCAAGGGAGGAUCUCAAGGGGAAACUGUACUAGGUUCAAAGCCAAAAACAUACAGCUGCUUCCCAGACCAGACGGGCCAGGCACACACCAUCUGCCUGCGAUCACUGAUCCAUCUGUGUCUCUCCUCCCGUGCAGGGAGGAAGCAGGAAAGGCCAGGGAGGAGGGAAGGGAGGCUCUUUAGCCAUCCCAGGGGCAGCAUGAUGAAGGGGAGAGCCCCUGGGAAUCAGCAGGCCAUGGUUCAAAUCCCUGCUUCUCCAUGUACUGUGUCCCACUAGACUAUAGGCAGCAGGGGCGGUUUCUAGGCUGUUCCAGGCUGGAACAGCGACAGGCAGCAGACACCACAACUCAUGUGCAACUUUAUACACAAUUAAAAGAAAAAGCACAACUAACCAGUCUGAUAUUAUAAUGCUUUCACCUUAAAAAAUAUUAGAGUUAAUUUUUUUAAUUUAAACUUUUUGUGGGUACAUGUGGAAACAAAAUGAGUUCACUGUAGGGGUAUGGAUUUGUUUCCGGGUUCUCUAUUCUGUUCCAUUGGUCUAUGUGUCUAUUUUUAUGCUAGUACCACGUUGUUUUGGUUACUAUGGCUCUGUAGUAUGAUAUGAAGUCAGGUAAAGUGAUUCUUCC
rnacentral:lncRNA from 10 species